GACGAACGCUGGCGGUGUGCUUAACACAUGCAAGUCGAACGGAAAGGCCCUGCUUUCGUGGUGUUACCGAGUGCCGAUCGGGUGAGUAACACGUGAGUAUCCUGCUCUACAUUUUGGGAUAACUUCAGGAAACUGGGGUUAAUACAGGAUAGGAGCCCCUCCUGCAUGGAGGGGGGUGGAACGUUGCGGCGGGUGUGGAUGGACUCGCGGCUUAUCGGCUAGCUGGUGGGGUAGUGGCUUACCAAGGCAUUGAAGGAUAGCCGGCCUGAGAGGGUGACCGGCGACCUUGGGACUAAGAGACGGCCCAGAGGGCAACGUGGGGCAGCAGGGGGAAAUAUUGCACAAUGGGCGGAAGCCUGAUGCGGAAACGCUGGGUGCGGGAUGACGGCCUUCGGGUUGAAAACCGCUUUAGCUUGUGACGAAGCGUGAGUGACGGUAAUGAGUAAAGAAGCACCGGCUAACUACGUG
rnacentral:rRNA from 1 species